rnacentral:rRNA from 1 species
UGGGGAAUUUUGGACAAUGGGCGCAAGCCUGAUCCAGCCAUGCCGCGUGUCUGAAGAAGGCCUUCGGGUUGUAAAGGACUUUUGUCAGGGAAGAAAAGGACAGGGUUAAUACCUCUGUUUGAUGACGGUACCUGAAGAAUAAGCACCGGCUAACUACGUGCCAGCAGCCGCGGUAAUACGUAGGGUGCGAGCGUUAAUCGGAAUUACUGGGCGUAAAGCGAGCGCAGACGGUUACUUAAGCAGGAUGUGAAAUCCCCGGGCUCAACCUGGGAACUGCGUUCUGAACUGGGUGACUAGAGUGUGUCAGAGGGAGGUAGAAUUCCACGUGUAGCAGUGAAAUGCGUAGAGAUGUGGAGGAAUACCGAUGGCGAAGGCAGCCUCCUGGGAUAACACUGACGUUCAUGCUCGAAAGCGUGGGUAGCAAACAGGAUUAGAUACCCUGGUAGUCCACGCCCUAAACGAUGUCAAUUAGCUGUUGGGCAACUUGAUUGCUUAGUAGCGUAGCUAACGCGUGAAAUUGACGCCCUGGGGAGUACGGUCGCAAGAUUA